CCAUUCUGACUCAUGGAUCUGGUAGAGGAAGCUUCAGUGGGCUUCGCAACAGAAAGGGCCUCAAACAGAAGAGCAAGAUAAAUAUGCAGGCACUUUUCUACAGGCUGUGCAUCCCAGACCUUUGUGUCUUUUUGCUUAGGGGAGGAAAAGGACUUGUCCAAUGGGACUUUGAGCUAUUCUGCUGUCAGCUGCUUUUCGGCUUUCACAAAGGCUUGAUCCUGAAGUUACCAUUGAUUUCAGUAAUGGGCCUUCUACGCACCCUUUUCCCCACAACCACUUACCGACAUGGGAACACGGUCAUAAUAUCCAGCAAUUUGCAAUACUACUGGAUGCUGUUGUACCUGAAUGGUCUCAGUAUAUGAGAAAAGCAAGGCCUACACAAGUAAGCAUCUUUAAUAAAUCCAUUUAUAUAGCUGGGGAAAGUGGGCA
rnacentral:lncRNA from 1 species